rnacentral:rRNA from 1 species
AACGAACGCUGGCGGCAGGCUUAACACAUGCAAGUCGAACGCUGUAGCAAUACAGAGUGGCAGACGGGUGAGUAACGCGUGGGAACGUGCCUUUCGGUUCGGAAUAACUCAGGGAAAUUGAGCUAAUACCGGAUACGCCCUUCGGGGGAAAGAUUUAUUGCCGAAAGAUCGGCCCGCGUCCGAUUAGCUAGUUGGUGAGGUAAUGGCUCACCAAGGCGACGAUCGGUAGCUGGUCUGAGAGGAUGAUCAGCCACACUGGGACUGAGACACGGCCUAGACUCCUACGGGAGGCAGCAGUGGGGAAUAUUGGACAAUGGGCGCAAGCCUGAUCCAGCCAUGCCGCGUGAGUGAUGAAGGCCCUAGGGUUGUAAAGCUCUUUCGCCAGGGACGAUAAUGACGGUACCUGGAUAAGAAGCCCCGGCUAACUUCGUGCCAGCCGCCGCAGUAA